GACGGUUAUCAGUCGGUAGGUCGCAUUGGGGGGUGCGCGGUGGCCGGGAUUGGCCUCGACGAACCCAGUCACCGUCGACAACAUUGCGCGACGGCGGCGAUUGGCCUCGACGAAUCCAAUCACCGUCGAUAACCUUGCGCGACGGCGGCGAUUGGCCUCGACGAACCCAAUCUUCUUCGGCUGACUCUCGCUCGAUCUAAAUUUUCCCACGUAUGCGCUCGGAGAUGAUUUUGGACGAUCAAGGAAUUGUGGAUUUGUUGUUGCUGUUAUGGUUGAAGAGCCGAUUCACCGUCUGUGGCAUCGGCUUUGUGACGAUGAGUCGUUUGCGAGAAUGCCUGGCUAACAUUUCGUAGUGGGAAUUUGUCUCGCUCUCUCUGUUUGACUGCUUCAUGUGUUUCGACUGGAAUCACAAAAUAGCUUCCUUUGUUUGAUUGCAUGAUCUGUUUUGAGUAGAACCACAGCAUUGUGAGAGGAAACUGAAGUCAUUUGAAAUAGUAGUAUUUCUGAGGCAGUGAUUCCAUGCA